GUGCCAGCCGCCGCGGUAAUACGUAGGGUGCGAGCGUUAAUCGGAAUUACUGAGCGUAAAGUGUGCGCAGGUGACCGCGCAAGUCGAGUGUGAAAUCCCCGGGCUUAACUUGGGAAUUGCGCUCGAAACUACAUGGCUCGAGUGUGGCAGAGGAAGGUGGAAUUCCACGUGUAGCGGUGAAAUGCGUAGAGAUGUAGAGGAACACCGAUGGCGAAAACAGCCUUCUGGGCCAACACUGACGCUCAUGCACGAAAGCGUGGGGAGCAAACAGGAUUAGAAACCCUGGUAGUCC
rnacentral:rRNA from 1 species